UUGGCCGACGUCAGAGGCGUCGACGACGACGUCGACGGCACUAGCCGUUCCACGGACAGCGCGUUGGACGCCGGAUUGACGGGCAUGGCGUGGUGGGGGCCCGUCCUUCGGCACUCUGCAGUGGGCAAGUGUCGUUGACUGGGAACAAGUACAAAGGAUGCUGGCCCUGCGUACAGGUGGGCUUCCAGUGAGCCAGUCUGUGCGCAGGUACCAAGGCGCCUACAUGAUCGAGUAUCCCGGAGCGCCAUUUACUGUAGCUACGCCACCCGAAGGAGUCGAUAGGCGACCUAGAGAAGCUGACCGUCGGAUCAUAGAGGAAGGAAGCGGCAAACCCGAGGACAAUGGACUCAGAUUCUUCAUCGUAGCCCGCAUCGUGCUGGCGGCGCUCGUGGUGCUCAUGACAGCAGCGUUGCUGUUUUUUGAGCUGAAAGGCCGAAGCCUGUUCCGUGGUUCGACCACGACAACCCCGGAGCCGCAGCUGAAAUUAGAUGGGAACUCAUGAAGACCUUCUGCGGGGCACAGCCAUGUUAUACCUUCCCUACUCAGUCGCGGCGUACCGUAUCCGCUUCGAAUGUAACGUGGAAUCCACCCAGCAAAGUGAAAUACACAUUCGAGGUCACUCCUUUGAACAAGUGAA